ACAUAAUCGGUCCUGGUGUUAAUAUCCUUGCUGCUUGGCCUACCUCCGUGGAUGGCAACAAAAACACCAAAUCCACAUUCAAUAUUAUAUCAGGCACCUCAAUGUCUUGCCCUCACCUUAGUGGCGUAGCAGCUCUGCUGAAGAGCUCACAUCCUGAUUGGUCUCCUGCUGUUAUUAAGUCUGCAAUCAUGACAACCGCUGACACAUUAAACCUUGCCAGUAGUCCAAUACUCGACGAAAGGCUCAGUCCUGCUGAUAUCUAUGCAAUUGGUGCAGGACAUGUUAAUCCAUCAAGGGCAAAUGACCCAGGACUAGUUUAUGAUACCCCAUUUGAGGACUAUCUACCUUAUUUGUGUGGUUUGAACUACACAAAUUCACAGGUAGGUAAAUUGUUGAAACGCAAAGUAAAUUGCUCGGAGGUUGAAAGUAUCCCUGAAGCACAAUUAAACUAUCCUUCAUUUUGCAUAUCGAGACUUGGAUCAACUCCUCAGACAUUCACCAGAACUGUGACCAAUGUUGGUGAUGCCAAAUCAUCUUACACGGUGCAGAUAGCUUCACCUAAAGGCGUUGUCGUGAAAGUUAAGCCCCGCAAGCUAAUUUUCUCGGAGUUGAAGCAGAAGUUAACAUACCAAGUGACAUUUUCCAAGAGAACCAACAGCUCAAAGUCUGGGGUCUUUGAGGGAUUCUUGAAGUGGAAUUCUAACAAGUACUCUGUGAGAAGUCCAAUUGCAGUUGAGUUUGCAUUGGCUACAAAGUAUUCAGACAUUUGAAAAUGCUGUUUGUUUACACAAUUAACUUUAUGUUACUUUUUUCAUAUAUAUUAUUAAAUGUAUUGUUUCAAUAAACUUUACGUUCACAGCUGAUUGAAGAAUGCAAAAGCAUAUCCUCUUUGAUAUUAGUGACCAUGCCCUGCUCAACCUUUUCUUGAUUUCAUUUUUUUCAACAAAUAAAGUGACUUCUCGAGAUAAUAAAUAUUAGUUGAGUGACCGUAAAAGAAUCUCAGUUCAUAAUUAAGCACCCUUUGAUCCAGAAUCUUGACAGUGACUUCAAAAAUAAAGUCUUAGUCUUUGGUGACUUCAAACUUAUUAAUAAGACAAGAAAAAUAAUAGAGACAUAUCCUAUGAAUUUCCUGGAAAAACUGUUACGUUGUAAUGUUACGUAAACCCUUACAACUAGUUAAUAAAGUAAGGUUCGUUCAAAUCCUUAUAUAAAAAAAAAAGAUUCUCAUUCUCAAUUAGCCCCUUUCUGCACCCCCAAUGAAAUGGAAUGAAUCAAGAAUUAAGGACAAAUAUGACUAAUAUAAUAAGAAAUGAAUUUGCCCUACCUAAAUCCUUACGAUUAGUUAAUAGAGUAAGGAUUGUUCAAAUCCAUAUGAAGAAGAAUUCAUUCUUAAUACUCGGCCUCAAAAUAACUCACGAGGAGGAGGGGCUUCUUAUGUAAAUGUUCACCCGACAAAAAAAACUUUCUUACUAAAAUGGUCGUAGUAUAUGUAAUAUAUCGAUAUUUGUAUGAAUAAUGUAUAAUUAUGUAUAUAUAGUAUUUAUACAUUGUAUCAAUUCAUCUUCCUCAAUAAUGUGUUUUCUUGAAUCUUAAAUUUUUAACCAACUCAAAUCUUCUCUAAUCAUUCCAAGUAGUUUUGUUGUUCGCUAGCUCUUAUUGAAUUGUAUAUCUUUUGUAUAUAUAUAUAUAUAUAUAGAAAAGAUUUGAUUAUGAUAUAGGGACUCAACACUUUAAGAGUUGAUGUUCAUUUCAUUCUCUAAAAAUAUGAAAUAGAGAUACUUUCUUUAAGCAAAAGGAUAAAUUAUAAAAUCAAAUUAAAGAGGAUUGAUCGAAGAAUAACAUUAACUUGUUGAUGCUUAGCUUAUUCAUAUGAUGACCAAAAAAAAAAAAAAACUUCGAAUUUCCUGCAAAAGACGUUGUAAUUAAUUCACAUGGAUAUUUUUUAUUAACAUAUUGUGGCCAAAUGGACUUACUAACACAAAUAUAAUAUAAUAGUACUAAAUUAAUAUUCGGUAUAUUAAUAGUUUAUCUAAGACAAUAGGUUUUUUCAUGUCUUGAUUUGUGUCAAUGAAAAAAAUCACUCAUUUCAAUAUGAUAAUAUGACAAUAUAUUUUCAGAAGACCCUAUAUAAAUAUACUAUCCCACUAAUAUUAUUUUUAAAAAUAUGAAUAUAUCUAAGAUAAUUUAAGUGAAAUGUGAUUUUAUUAUCUUUCUUAAAAAUUUAAAUCUAGUUAAAUUCAUGUCUAAUUUUUUUAUUGCAUCCAAAAAUUCUAGUGUUGUCACGACUACAAAUUAUCUUCCUGAGUGCGCCUCCUAUGUUGACACAUUUUAAAUGAGAAACCAUUUAUGCAUAUGGUUACAAAAAUUUCCUAUGUUGCUUAUAUAAUUUAUUCUCUCAUCAUCGUACAUUGAAUAUUUCUUGUGAAGAUACAUUGAAUAAUAUUUUGUUAUUAAGAAACAAUGACCAUUAUAUAUAGUGAAUUUGUUUUUACGAUGAAUCACUGAAUUUUUGAAUUUAUUUUAUAAUGAAUCAUUAAAAAAUAUAUAUAUAUUACCGUGAUUCAUACAUAUACAUUGUACUUUGUGUAUAAUGAUUUUUUUUUAAAUAUAAGUUCAAUAAAUAUAAUGUAUAAUUUAGUAAGAUAUAAUGAUUUUGAUAUAUUCACUGUACUUAUUAUAUAUAAUAAAUUUAUUUCUUAUGUGAAUUCAAUAAAUAUGAUACAUAAAUUAAUAAGAUAUAAUUAUUUUAAUGUAAUCAAAAUUGACCUUCAUUGAAUCUCAAAAACACUCUUUAAUUAAUAAAUAUUAAUUUAUGAAUUAAAUAAUACCUUUGUAGAAUAACAAUAUUUUAUGAUCUCACAUGUAUUAAUUUAAUGAGAUUUUAAGGUAUGCGAGCAAAAUCUACUAAAUUCGAUCAAAUCUGCGUGCAGGUUACUAGCUCUACCCUUCACGUUAUACCAACUAUAUAUGUCAAAUGUCCACGCAAGUCCAAUUGAAGGAGAGCAAUGUACAUCAUCCAUCAUUCACGUUUUGUCUUGCAAAUAAAUUAAAUUAACCAAUUUUUAUUUUAGUAUUUAAAAUUAACCAAUUUUAGUUUUAUAAUUAAUAUUUUUAAUCUCGACCAACUGAAAUCUCCUAUGAGCACCUCGAAUUUUAAAUUUGAGCUCCUCUCAAUAUUUCAAGACUAUUAAUAUAUUAUUCGUUCAAAAUAAUUGAUGACUAUUGAAAUUAAUUCUCGGAAAAGGAUCUUGAAUAGUUACAUGUUCAUGCAUUGCAACUUUAUUUAGACAUAAUAUUCGCAACUUUUUAUUACAAAGUGAUUUAACAGUUAAAAUUUGUAUGGUAAAAAGAUGUUCAUAUAAUUAAGCAAAUUUACAGUGGAAAGUCUUUUGGAAAAUCUACAAAUUCAUAGAAUAAAGUUCAAUGUAACUUUAGUUUCAUUCACUCUUAGUGGCCUUUCUUUUCUUUUUCUUUAAGUAUUAAUUUUAAUUUUCUUGUCCACAUUAUUCUUUUUUUCCACUUGGAAUAAAAUAAAGUCAUGAGCAAAGAUGAAGUAUAAAUAGACAGUUGCAUCAAAGCAGAAAAAUUCAUCAAAUACAUUAUCGCUUCAGCCAUGGGAUUCUUCAAAGUCCUUCUUGUUCUCAUCUUUUGUUCUUUCCCAUGGCCGACUAUUCAGAGUGGUCUCGAGAUUUAUAUAGUCCAUGUUGAAUCCCUUGAAAGCCUGAUUUCUACUAAAUCAUCGUUAACGGAUCUAGACAGCUAUUACCAUUCUUUUUUGCCUAAAACUACUACCGCAAUUAGCUCGAGUGGAAAUGAAGAGGCUGCUACCAUGAUCUAUUCCUAUCACAAUGUGAUGAAAGGAUUUGCAGCAAGAUUAACAGAAUCUCAUGUGAAGGAAAUGGAGAAGAAACGAGGCUUUGUUUCCGCUCAGAAACAGAGGAUUUUGUCCUUGGAUACUACUCAUACUCCAAGUUUUCUUGGUUUGCAGCAGAACAUGGGUGUAUGGAAGGAUUCCAACUAUGGAGAAGGCGUGAUCAUCGGAGUUAUAGACACUGGAAUUCUUCCUGACCAUCCUUCGUUUAGUGAUGUUGGAAUGCCUCCUCCGCCUGCUAAAUGGAAAGGAGUUUGUGAGUCCAACUUCAUCAACAAGUGUAACAACAAGCUCAUUGGAGCGAGGUCUUACCAUCUUGGCAAUGGUUCCCCGAUAGAUGGUAAUGGGCAUGGUACACACACAGCAAGCACAGCUGCGGGAGCUUUUGUGAAAGGUGCUAAUGUAUAUGGCAAUGCUAAUGGAACUGCAGUUGGUGUUGCCCCUCUUGCCCACAUAGCUGUGUAUAAGGUAUGUAGUUCUGAUGGCGGUUGUUCUGACAGUGAUAUUUUAGCUGCCAUGGAUUCAGCUAUAGAUGAUGGAGUAGAUAUUCUUUCUAUAUCCAUUGGUGGAUCUCCCAACUCUUUCUAUGAUGACCCUAUUGCUCUUGGGGCAUACAGUGCAACGGCAAGAGGUGUUUUUGUAAGUUGUUCUGCAGGUAAUAGAGGCCCUUUGCUUGCCUCAGUUGGAAAUGCAGCCCCUUGGAUUCUUACAGUAGGUGCCAGCACGCUUGAUAGAAAGAUAAAAGCUACUGUUAAGCUUGGAAAUGGAGAGGAAUUCGAAGGAGAAUCUGCUUAUCGUCCACAGAUUUCCAACUCAACAUUCUUCACUCUAUUUGAUGCUGCAAAACAUGCAAAAGAUCCAUCGGAAACCCCUUAUUGCAAACCAGGGUCACUCAAGGGCCCUGUUAUAAGAGGAAAGAUAGUAUUAUGUCUAGCAGGCGGUGGCGUCUCCAGUGUUGCUAAAGGAAAAGUUGUGAAGGAUGCUGGAGGUGUUGGCAUGAUUGUCAUCAAAACAUCACAAUAUGGUGUCACUAAAACAGCUGAUGCUCAUGUUCUUCCAGCAUUGGAUAUUUCAGAUGCAGAUGGAUUAAGAAUUCGUGCCUAUACAAACUCAAUAUUAAACCCUGUUGCUACAAUCACAUUCCAAGGAACAACAAUUGGAGAUGAAAAUGCUCCAAUAGUUGCUGCAUUUUCUUCUCGGGGACCAAGUAGAGCUAGUCCUGGAAUCUUGAAACCUGACAUAAUCGGUCCUGGUGUUAACAUCCUUGCUGCUUGGCCUACACCCGUGGAUGACGACAAAAACACCAAAUCCACAUUCAAUAUUAUAUCAGGCACCUCAAUGUCUUGCCCUCACCUUAGUGGUGUAGCAGCUCUGCUGAAGAGCGCACAUCCUGAUUGGUCUCCUGCUGUUAUUAAGUCUGCAAUCAUGACAACGGCUGACACGUUAAACCUUGCCAAUAGUCCAAUACUAGACGAAAGGCUC
rnacentral:lncRNA from 1 species